AUAAAGACAACCAUGCACUCUACUGCAGUCUCAGCAGCUGACCCUAGAUAACCCUCCCUUACUGGAGGGAGGGAGAGGGGAGAAGACGGCAGGCACCGUUCACAGACCUAUCUGUCUAUCUGUCUCAAGUGAAGGUUAACCUCUUCAUGACUAGGCUAGUUAACCACAAUCACUGUAGGUCUAUAUAGUCACGGCUUCCUGUUCUUUCACGCACAGAACUUGGCUGGAUAAAGUUUGAAUGCGUAGGCCUAUUCUGAUAGUGAGUCACAGCAGCUAACCACAGACACCUCCACACCCAUGUGAUGACUUCUCAAAGAACAUUUCUCAGCCUUGAUUUCUACACACGCAAGGUCAAUGUAACUAAGGUUAAUAUCUCUCUCCUUCCCCUCUUCUCUCCCCUCCUCCAGAGAGAGAUGGGGGGACAGAGAGAUAGAGAGAGGAGGAAGAAGGGUUAGGCAGAAGGAGAAAGAGAGGGAGAGAGAAAAUAGAGAUGUAGAGAGAGAGAUUGACAGGUAGAGACAGAGAUCAACAGAGGCGGAGGGGGAAAAAGGGAGAGACAAACAGAGCGAAAUAGAGAGAGUGAGAACGAGAUAGAGAAGUAUGUCCCUAUAAUUCUGUCACUGUCCAUACACAAUGUCCACCAAGGGUUAAAUGUUCCUAAACCUCUAAAGCAUGGUUAUUUACCCGUUAGGUUUAAGAGUUAAUGGGGGUAAUCCCUAAAGCAUGCUGGGAAGUUGUUUAUCGGUCGGGUCAAAGACCUGGGUUUUAUGGCCUAAUAGGUGACAAAAAAAUGAAUGAGUCGUUUGUGGGCUUAAAUACCCAAGUGGGACUAAACACAGGCAUUCUGCACUGUAAUGUCUUUUGGGGCCUCCUGAGGACAAAAUAGCAAACAGGGAAUAUAGACCUAGUAACGGGGACUUGGUCUCAAGGUUGGGUUCAAUUCAGUCAAACUGGUAAGUAAACUGAAAUGCAGAGGAAAAAUUGGAAUUAGAAUUUCUGUUUACUUCCUGAAUGCAAUGGAAUUAACCCCAACCUUGCUAGGCAUAUCUCGUUACAUAAAUGGCAUUGGAUUUAAUUUGCAGUGGUAGGACACUGCAACACCACACACACCUGAGUUAGCUACCGGAAGGAUCAUGCCAGGACGCUAACCUCAGUGUUAGUAGUGUGCUGGGUAUAGAUAACCUGCUAAGCUAAUUUAGCACUGCAGGGGGUUGGAUGGCAUUAGCGCCACUCCUUAUGAAUAGCCUCGCGCUUGCUAGCGUUAGCCCGCCAAUGAGCCUUGUUGCUUUAGCUAUUGAUAGCCUAGAAAGUGUGCUCACGUUGGCCUGCCAAAGAGCCCUGUUCUCCGGGUCAUCCCAUGAAUAGCAUUACCUUUACGUGUACGGGGCUCCCAUCUGCAUCAUGCAGAUUACAUAAUGCAUAAUCAAACAUAAUGUGUGGAGAGAUGGUCUUCCACGCUCUCUAACCUCCACCUCUCUCUUUCCCUCCAUUCUAUCCAUCAAUCUUCCUCUCUUUCCUACGUGCAAGCCUGCCUCCAACACAAGGGCUAACCCUUCAGAGAAAAAGGCCAUCCGCACUUCAAAACCCUCCUUCGUAACCCGGCAGAAUCGCCCCAAGUACUGCUCAUGGCUCUUGGCCUACGCACUCCUUCUCUCUCUCUAUUCAUCCCUCCACAGGUUCCUCAUUUACUCUUCUCUCUCUCUCUCUCUCUAUUCAUCCCUCCACAGGUUCCUCAUUUACUCUUCUCUCUUUCUCUUUCAUCGGAUCAAGAGAGAGUUUGAAAGGAAAUAAAAAUAAAAAACUGCCCCGACGAGAUGUUGGAAAAUGGUUUGAAGAGAGGUUGAAAAGACGGUUGAAAGGAUGCUCAGCUGUGCACACAGACAGGCAGCAAGCCUUUAUUGUGGUUGGUGUUUUUAACACUGCUCUGUUCCACCGUUACCUCCUGCAGCUACAGAGGCUGUAGUGGAGGUAGUGAGAGGUCUUUAUACAGACUGUUACAUUAUGGUUGUGAGGUAACUGCUGUUUUAGAGGUAGUGAGAGGUCUUUAUACAGACUGUUACAUUAUGGUUGUGAGGUAACUGCUGUUUUAGAGGUAGUGAGAGGUCUUUAUACAGACUGUUACAUUAUGGUUGUGAGGUAACUGCUGUUUUAGAGGUAGUGAGAGGUCUUUAUACAGACUGUUACAUUAUGGUUGUGAGGUAACUGCUGUUUUAGAGGUAGUGAGAGGUCUUUAUACAGACUGUUACAUUAUGGUUGUGAGGUAACUGCUGUUUUAGAGGUAGUGAGAGGUCUUUAUACAGACUGUUACAUUAUGGUUGUGAGGUAACUGCUGUUUUAGAGGUAGUGAGAGGUCUUUAUACAGACUGUUACAUUAUGGUUGUGAGGUAACUGCUGUUUUAGAGGUAGUGAGAGGUCUUUAUACAGACUGUUACAUUAUGGUUGUGAGGUAACUGCUGUUUUAGAGGUAGUGAGAGGUCUUUAUACAGACUGUUACAUUAUGGUUGUGAGGUAACUGCUGUUUUAGAGGUAGUGAGAGGUCUUUAUACAGACUGUUACAUUAUGGUUGUGAGGUAACUGCUGUUUUAGAGGUAGUGAGAGGUCUUUGUGAGGUUAGAGGGUAGAUGUGAGUGGUCUUUGUGUAGACUGUUUCAUUAUGGUCUGUGGCUUGCAGCAUCACAUUAACAUAGGAUGCUGUUUCCCAGUUUAACAGAGUAACUUAAAUAGUAGCUUCUGUAAUGUUUUGCAGAUAAGGCUAAUUAAAGGUGGGUUUGUUUGAGAAACAAACACAGGGAAAACCUAGAGCCAAGGUGUAGUCUAAUAACCCCAAACCUACAAAAGAAAGAGUUUAUUUUAGAAAUGUCUUUUUUUUCAUGGGUAAAACACUGAUCUGGCUGAGGACAUCAAGUCCUGCUAGAUGUGACAGUAUUUCGUGGAACACACAUGAGACAGAGAGAUAAAGGAGCUUUACACUAUAGCUGGCCUACAUUUCCUGGAACUUUUGGACAAGUCUUAAAUAAUGAAUGACUUGACGUCACGGACCAUCCAAGAUGUCUGAUAUACAUUACAUAUGUUCUUAAAGGGACCGUUCAGUCCCUGGCUACAGACAGAACGACAUACAUUUGAAGGAUGUGAUCAGGACAGUAUAGAACAUCAGGAAAAGUUGUAAAAAAAUAUAUUGGUUUGGCGGUAGGUCAAUUUCAAUGAUGUAGGCCUAUGAAUAGAGGGUAAUGACAUUAAAACACUCAUUCCUGAUUAAUCAACACAGAUCACAUUGCUACUCUGCCCCACACCCUCAACCCCACCUCCCAUAUGACCUAGUUAUGUAUGUAGCGAGCUGACAAGUGAGCCUUCACAUAGAUAUUAAACUAAUUACAGGACCUUCACAUAGGCUGUAGGCAUCCCAAAUGGCACCUUAUUCCCUACACGGUGCACUACUUUUGACCAGGCUCUGUUCAAAAGUUGUGCACUAUGUAGUGAACAGGGCACCAUUUGGCACGCAUCCCAGGAUAUUAUACUAUUCCAGAUCCUUGGUGGAGCGCGGUGGUAAAUCUCCAAGCCGACAAGGCAGUCAGGAAAUGGAGACAUCAUGAUCAUUAUGAACUACGCCCUAAAUGUCACCCUAUUCCCUACAUACUGCACAACUUUUGUCCAGAACCUUGAUUGGCCCUGGUGAAAAGAAGUGCACAACAUAGGGAAUAGGGUGCCAUUUGGGAUGCAGGCACAAUCAUUAUGAACAUGUUCUCUUGUUAGCAUGACCCUGACCAAUAUCACCAUGUCUCUUUCCAGGGAUAGGAAGGAUAAUAAAAUCCACCACUUCUUUCUUUCCAGCUUCGUCCAGCCUUAUCUGAGGCCCCAAAGCCACAGCCUAAAUCCAAAUAGAUUGGAACUAUUUGAUGUAUUUUACUGAGCAGUAGAAUUGAGAGCC